rnacentral:rRNA from 1 species
GAUGAACGCUGGCGGCGUGCCUAAUACAUGCAAGUCGAACGAAACUUCUUUAUCACCGAGUGCUUGCACUCACCGAUAAAGAGUUGAGUGGCGAACGGGUGAGUAACACGUGGGCAACCUGCCCAAAAGAGGGGGAUAACACUUGGAAACAGGUGCUAAUACCGCAUAACCAUAGUUACCGCAUGGUAACUAUGUAAAAGGUGGCUAUAAUACCGCUUUUGGAUGGGCCCGCGGCGCAUUAGCUAGUUGGUAGGGUAAAGGCUUACCAAGGCAAUGAUGCGUAACCUGAAUUAGAAGGUGAUCGGCCACAUUGGGGCUUAGGCACGGCCCAAACUCCUACGGGAGGCAGCAGUAGGGAAUCUUCCACAAUGGGCGAAAGCCUGAUGGAGCAACGCCGCGUGGGUGAAGAAGGUCUUCGGAUCGUAAAACCCUGUUGUUAGAGAAGAAAGUGCGUGAGAGUAACUGUUCACGUUUCGACGGUAUCUAACCAGAAAGCCACGGCUAACUACGUG